rnacentral:rRNA from 1 species
GACGAACGCUGGCGGCGUGCCUAAUACAUGCAAGUAGAACGCUGAAGGAGGAGCUUGCUCUUCUGGAUGAGUUGCGAACGGGUGAGUAACGCGUAGGUAACCUGCCUGGUAGCGGGGGAUAACUAUUGGAAACGAUAGCUAAUACCGCAUAACAGUAGAUGUUGCAUGACAUUUACUUAAAAGGUGCAAUUGCAUCACUACCAGAUGGACCUGCGUUGUAUUAGCUAGUUGGUGGGGUAACGGCUCACCAAGGCGACGAUACAUAGCCGACCUGAGAGGGUGAUCGGCCACACUGGGACUGAGACACGGCCCAGACUCCUACGGGAGGCAGCAGUAGGGAAUCUUCGGCAAUGGACGGAAGUCCGACCGAGCAACGCCGCGUGAGUGAAGAAGGUUGUCGGAUCGUAAAGCUCUGUUGUAAGAGAAGAACGAGUGUGAGAGUGGAAAGUUCACACUGUGACGGUAUCUUACCAGAAAGGGACGGCUAACUACGUG